rnacentral:rRNA from 1 species
UUAAUUGAAGGCUUGUAUGAAUGGUUGGACAAAAAGUAAUCUGUCUCAGUUAUAAUAGUUGAACUUAACUUUUAAGUGAAAAGGCUUAAAUACUUUAAGGGGACGAUAAGACCCUAUAAAACUUAACAAUAAUUUGAUUAAAUUAUAAAUUGUUAGUAU